UAAUUGGCAUGGGUCGUUAAACACUCACC
rnacentral:piRNA from 1 species